UACGAACCGUACAAACGUUAUUCGGAAUCACUGGGCUUAAAGGGUGCGUAGGCGGCCAUGUAGGUGGGGUGUGAAAUCCCUCGGCUCAACCGAGGAACUGCGCUCCAUACUGCAUGGCUUGAGGGAGACAGGGGUAAGCGGAACUGAUGGUGGAGCGGUGAAAUGCGUUGAUAUCAUCAGGAACACCGGUGGCGAAAGCGGCUUACUGGGUCUCUUCUGACGCUGAGGUACGAAAGCUAGGGGAGCGAACGGG
rnacentral:rRNA from 1 species